GACUCAUUGUAUAAAAGAGUUUCACCAUUUGGAGUUCUUUUAUAAAUUUGUGUCAGAUCACAAUUUGCUGUCUGGGAAAUGUAAAUUAGUUAUUAAUGAGCCAAAAUUCUAACAUCAAAGGCUGUGCACCCACAUGCCAGCGAGAAACAAAGAGCUCUCACAGCACAGCGGCUGUUCCUAGCCGACCUGAAUUCUGCAUUCACUUUGACACGCUCUGCUGACUUAUCAAGGAGAUGGCUCCUUGCAGAUGUGAUGGCACAGUCACCUGCAUCAUUACUGUCACCUCCACCUGAGCACGGCUAGACUGGCAGAAUCCCGGGCAGCAGAGUGAGGCCUUUGACCUCUAUGUCCAGGUGAGGCUUGGGUCAGCCUCCCUUGCUGUCCUCAGCUGGCAGAAGUUGGAUGUAUCCCAGACUCCUGAGGAGUCAUGUUGUACCCUGCCUGAGGGCCUCUCGUCAGCAAGCUCACGGGGCAAGAAUGAACAACCUGUCAGCUCGGCUCCAUCCAUCCUAACUGCCUGUCAACAGAUGAGUGCACCGGAGUCUCAGAAAAACCAACAGUGAUUAAGGAUCCUACUAGUCUAAGCACCGUGCCAAAUGUUGUCCUUGCACAUAAACCCCAGCAUUUUAACUCAUUUGCCUAAAACACAAGUUUGAAAGGCAAAGUAAAAACCAUUUCAAGCUUGGUUAAUCAAAAACAUCCAAUUAAAUACAACACACACACACACACACACACACACACACACACCACAAAUAACUUCAUUUAAAAGACAUUUCAUCACUGGGCAUGGUGGUGCACGCCUUUGAUCCCAGCAUUUGGGAGGCAGAGGCAGGCAAAUCUUUAUAAGUUUGAAGCCAGCCUUAUCUACAGAGUGAGUUCCAGGACAGCCAGGACCACACUGAGAAAUCCUGUCUUGGAAAACCAAAAUAAAAUAAAAGACAUUUCAU